rnacentral:rRNA from 1 species
AAUCUGCCCUGCACUCUGGGAUAACUCCGGGAAACCGGAGCUAAUACCGGAUACGACUCUCCAGGGCAUCCUGGGGGGUGGAAAGCUCCGGCGGUGCAGGAUGAGCCCGCGGCCUAUCAGCUGGUUGGUGGGGUGAUGGCCUACCAAGGCGACGACGGGUAGCCGGCCUGAGAGGGCGACCGGCCACACUGGGACUGAGACACGGCCCAGACUCCUACGGGAGGCAGCAGUGGGGAAUAUUGCACAAUGGGCGCAAGCCUGAUGCAGCGACGCCGCGUGAGGGAUGACGGCCUUCGGGUUGUAAACCUCUUUCAGCAGGGAAGAAGCGUGAGUGACGGUACCUGCAGAAGAAGCACCGGCUAACUACGUGCCAGCAGCCGCGGUAAUACGUAGGGUGCGAGCGUUGUCCGGAAUUAUUGGGCGUAAAGAGCUCGUAGGCGGCUUGUCGCGUCGGAUGUGAAAGCCCGGGGCUUAACCCCGGGUCUGCAUUCGAUACGGGCAGGCUAGAGUUCGGUAGGGGAGAUCGGAAUUCCUG